rnacentral:rRNA from 1 species
GCAAGUCGAACGAAUUCUUCGGAAUUAGUGGCGGACGGGUGAGUAACGCGUGAGAAUCUGCCUCUAGAAUGGGGACAACAGUUGGAAACGACUGCUAAUACCCAAUGAGCCGAAAGGUAAAAGAUUUAUCGUCUAGAGAGGAGCUCGCGUCCGAUUAGUUAGUUGGUGAGGUAAAGGCUUACCAAGGCGGCGAUCGGUAGCUGGUCUGAGAGGAUGAGC